CAAUAAUAUUGAUUGACAUCUUAUUUGAUUUCAUGGCUUCGUUUUUGACACUGUGUAUGUUUUAUUGAUUAUCUCGUGGCAGAAGGAAGACAUGGCGGAGAAAAACCCAAGGCAUCAAACAAGCUGCCAACCUACUCACUCUCUUUUCCUAGACUGAGACUUGAUUUCCAGAGAAAGGCAGGCAUCCCAUUCUUAGUCAGCUGAGAUGACAUUUCAGCACUUCAAACAGUCAGUUCAACUGGGUGGCAGGGAAGACACGACAGACAGCCAGAACCUGCUGGAAAACGUUCAUGACCUUGCUUCAGCUUCAAUGCUCAUUCAGCCCAGACAAAGGCCAGAGUUACUAGAUGUGACAGUAUCGAAAGAAGGUGGAGAACAAGAACAAGAACAUUCUCUGGCUCAUAUUCCUUUUGCAAAAGAUCCUAUGGUAUGAGGUAUGUUCCAGUAUUUGAAGGGUUGCACCCAUCUAUCUGUCUAAUUUUCUGGUGGCUUCUAGUACAUGUCCAUUACUAUUCAUAACUAAGAUUAACUAUUAACUAGGAACAUAAUGAAAACUAGCUCUUCACCUGUGUGUGGGGGUCAUGUACAGGAUCAUGAUGUUAGAAGAGAUGAGGUCCACCUGGUCCCAUCCCCGGCAAUGCAAGAAUAUACAACUAAAGCACUUCCAAAAGAGCAUGAUCCAACCUUAAAAUAAUAGAAUAAUAGGGCCCUUCCACACAGCCCUAUAUCCCAGAAUAUCAAGGCAGAAAACCGCACAUUAUCAGAUUCAGAUAAGCCAGUUCAAAGUAGAUAUUCUGGGAUAUAGGGCUGUUUAUAGAAUAAUAGAGUUGGAAGAGACCACAUGGACCAUCUAUUCCAUCUAAUCCUAUUCCAUCUAAAAUGGGCGGCCAGGACUGGGAUGGGCGGAGUUACG
rnacentral:lncRNA from 11 species